rnacentral:rRNA from 1 species
GACCCUUCUUCGGAACACGAAAACAGGUGCUGCAUGGUUGUCGUCAGCUCGUGUCGUGAGAUGUUAGGUUAAGUCCUGCAACGAGCGCAACCCUCAUAUACAGUUGCCAAUAUUCAGUUAGGAACUCUGUAUAGACUGCCGUGGUUAACACGGAGGAAGGUGGGGAUGACGUCAAAUCAUCACGGCCCUUACGGCCUGGGCUACACACGUGCUACAAUGGCUAUUACAAAGAGUUGCAAUACAGUAAUGUGGAGCGAAUCUCAAAAAGAUAGUCUCAGUUCGGAUUGUGGGCUGCAACCCGCCCACAUGAAGUCGGAGUUGCUAGUAAUCCCGAAUCAGCAUGUCGGGGUGAAUGCGUUCCCGGGUCUUGUACACACCGCCCGUCACGCCAUGGGAGUUGGGAGUGCCCAAAGUCGGUGACCUAACCGCAAGGAAGGAGCCGCCUAAGGUAAUACCAAUGACUGGGGUGAAGUCGUAACAAGGUAGCCGUAUCGGAAGGUGCGGCUGGA